rnacentral:rRNA from 1 species
UACGUAGGGAGCAAGCGUUGUCCGGAAUCAUUGGGCGUAAAGCGCGCGUAGGCGGCCUCAUAAGUCCGUUGUGAAAGUCAAAGGCUCAACCCCGGGAGGCGGAUGGAUACUGCCGGACUAGAGUUCGGAAGAGGCGAGUGGAAUUCCCGGUGUAGCGGUGAAAUGCGCAGAUAUCGGGAGGAACACCAAUGGCGAAGGCAGCUCGCUGGGACGUUACUGACGCUGAGACGCGAAAGCGUGGGGAGCAAACAGG